UGAGUUUGAUCCUGGCUCAGGACGAACGCUGGCGGCGUGCUUAACACAUGCAAGUCGAACGGUGAACCUGCUUCGGUGGGGGAUCAGUGGCGAACGGGUGAGUAACACGUGGGCAACCUGCCCUCAGCUCUGGGAUAACUCCAAGAAAUUGGGGCUAAUACCGGAUAUGACUGCUGACCGCAUGGUCUGGUGGUGGAAAGAUUUAUCGGCUGGGGAUGGGCCCGCGGCCUAUCAGCUUGUUGGUGGGGUAGUGGCCUACCAAGGCGACGACGGGUAGCCGGCCUGAGAGGGUGACCGGCCACACUGGGACUGAGACACGGCCCAGACUCCUACGGGAGGCAGCAGUGGGGAAUAUUGCGCAAUGGGCGAAAGCCUGACGCAGCGACGCCGCGUGGGGGAUGUCGGCCUUCGGGUUGUAAACCUCUUUCAGCAGGGACGAAGCGAAAGUGACGGUACCUGCAGAAGAAGCACCGGCCAACUACGUGCCAGCAGCCGCGGUAAUACGUAGGGUGCAAGCGUUGUCCGGAAUUAUUGGGCGUAAAGAGCUCGUAGGCGGUUCGUCGCGUCGGCUGUGAAAUCCCGAGGCUCAACCUCGGGCCUGCAGUCGAUACGGGCGGACUUGAGUUCGGCAGGGGAGACUGGAAUUCCUGGUGUAGCGGUGAAAUGCGCAGAUAUCAGGAGGAACACCGGUGGCGAAGGCGGGUCUCUGGGCCGAAACUGACGCUGAGGAGCGAAAGCGUGGGGAGCGAACAGGAUUAGAUACCUUGGUAGUCCACGCCGUAAACGUUGGGCGCUAGGUGUG
rnacentral:rRNA from 1 species